GUGGGGAAUUUUGGACAAUGGGCGAAAGCCUGAUCCAGCCAUGCCGCGUGCAGGAUGAAGGCCUUCGGGUUGUAAACUGCUUUUGUACGGAACGAAAAGACUCUGGUUAAUACCUGGGGUCCAUGACGGUACCGUAAGAAUAAGCACCGGCUAACUACGUGCCAGCAGCCGCGGUAAUACGUAGGGUGCAAGCGUUAAUCGGAAUUACUGGGCGUAAAGCGUGCGCAGGCGGUUAUAUAAGACAGAUGUGAAAUCCCCGGGCUCAACCUGGGAACUGCAUUUGUGACUGUAUAGCUAUAGUACGGCAGAGGGGGAUGGAAUUCCGCGUGUAGCAGUGAAAUGCGUAGAUAUGCGGAGGAACACCGAUGGCGAAGGCAAUCCCCUGGGCCUGUACUGACGCUCAUGCACGAAAGCGUGGGGAGCAAACAGGAUUAGAAACCCCUGUAGUCC
rnacentral:rRNA from 1 species